rnacentral:rRNA from 1 species
AUUGAACGCUGGCGGCAGGCCUAACACAUGCAAGUCGAGCGAGCGGCGGACGGGGGGUAAAGUAAGGGGAUUGGCCGGUAGAGGGGGAUUAAUACUGGGAACGGGAGCUAAUACCGCAAAGUAUCCGAUAACCCAAAUGGGAUGAGCUAGUAGGUGAGGUAAUGGAUCACCUAGGCGACGAUCCCUAGCUGGUAUGAGAGGAUGAUCAGCCACACUGGGACUGAGACACGGCCCAGACUCCUACGGAGGCAGCAGUGGGGAAUAUUGCACAAUGGGCGCAAGCCUGAUGCAGCCAUGCCGCGUGUAUGAAGAAGGCCCUAGGGUUGUAAAGUACUUUCAGUCGGGAGGCGUUACCGACAGAAGAAGCACCGGCUAACUCCGUGCCAGCAGCCGCGGUAAUUC